rnacentral:rRNA from 1 species
UACGUAGGGGGCAAGCGUUGUCCGGAAUCAUUGGGCGUAAAGAGCGCGUAGGCGGCCCUGUAAGUCCGCUGUGAAAGUCGGGGGCUCAACCCUCGAAUGCCGGUGGAUACUGUCGGGCUAGAGUACGGAAGAGGCGAGUGGAAUUCCUGGUGUAGCGGUGAAAUGCGCAGAUAUCAGGAGGAACACCAAUGGCGAAGGCAGCUCGCUGGGACGGUACUGACGCUGAGACGCGAAAGCGUGGGGAGCAAACAGG